UACGGAGGGGACUAGCGUUGUUCGGAAUUACUGGGCGUAAAGCGCACGUAGGCGGCUUGUUAAGUCAGGGGUGAAAUCCUGGAGCUCAACUCCAGAACUGCCUUUGAUACUGGCGAGCUUGAGUUCGGGAGAGGUGAGUGGAACUGCGAGUGUAGAGGUGAAAUUCGUAGAUAUUCGCAAGAACACCAGUGGCGAAGACGGGUUGCUGGGCUGACACUGACGCUGAGGCGCGAAAGCCAGGGGAGCAAACGGG
rnacentral:rRNA from 1 species